CUGUGGAAUGUUUGGUAACUCACGGUUUUCAUGGUGGAAUGAAUGAAUGAAUAGCAUAUUCUUUUUCUUUGCAACGCCGCUGUCAAGCUAAGCUUAUUUUUUCUUUAUUUCGUGGGAUGAUGAGUAUAGAUGAAAUGAUGAUUUCACUUAAUGGGAGGAGCAGACUUCUUCUCGGGUUCUGGUGCUUUGGAAAAUGAUUUUUACUUUGGUUUUAUUUUUCUUUGAAUAUUUUGGGAGAUAUUACAAUGUGCUCAUGGGUUAAAUGAAGAGACACAACUUUGCUUUCAAUUGUCUUUGCUCGAAUGUUUCUUA
rnacentral:lncRNA from 1 species